rnacentral:lncRNA from 1 species
UGACAUGCACGGAAUGUGAAGUCCACGGCUGCCGCGCUCAGGGCCGAGGCCUGCUUGUUCUCCUCCGCGUCAUCGACAUGCACGAACUAUAAAGUCCGCGCGUCCCGCGGCGGGGGUGAAGAUUCGGAAAUGCCGUAACGAGCGGACUGUUAAGAAAGGACAAAAGGCGGUUCCGUUCCGUUCCCUAGGAUGCUGAUUCGUUGCUUCGAAUCAAUGGCCGAGAUCGAGAGACGGGAAAUUGGACGGCUACCGAUGGUGUAGCGUACGAGUCGGUGGUCCAAAAAUGGGAUACAGGUGGUUGGUGAUUAAAGAAAUUAAUGACUUUGUUAAUAGGGG